CGCGGGGUAGAGCAGUCUGGUAGCUCGUCGGGCUCAUAACCCGGAGGUCGCAGGUUCGAAUCCUGUCCCCGCCA
rnacentral:tRNA from 3 species